UCAGGCCUAACACAUGCAAGUCGAGGGGUAGAACAUUUCGGUGUUUGAGACCGGCGCACGGGUGCGUAACGCGUAUGCAACCUACCUUUUACAGGGGAAUAGCCCGGAGAAAUUUGGAUUAAUGCCCCAUGGUAUAUUUAGAUGGCAUCAUCUGAUUAUUAAAGUUCCAACGGUAAAAGAUGGGCAUGCGUCCUAUUAGCUAGAUGGUAAGGUAACGGCUUACCAUGGCAACGAUAGGUAGGGGUCCUGAGAGGGAGAUCCCCCACACUGGUACUGAGACACGGACCAGACUCCUACGGGAGGCAGCAGUGAGGAAUAUUGGACAAUGGGCGCAAGCCUGAUCCAGCCAUGCCGCGUGCAGGAAGAAGCAUCUAUGGUGUGUAAAGUGCUUUUGUACGGGAAGAAACACUCCUACGGUAGGAGCUG
rnacentral:rRNA from 1 species